rnacentral:lncRNA from 1 species
UGACCAAAUGACUCCUCCCACCAUGUUGUGAUGUUCCCCAAGUUUUGCACUCAAUCCGAUAUCGAUUGGUCCAUGAAAUCGAACAAUUCAGGUUCGUACGAAGUUCGUUACGAAAUGCUGUGGUUGGUGUAUUGCAUAGUUUUAGCCAUUGGAUUUUAGUCAAAACUCACCAAACGACUCCACCCACCACCAUAUUAUGAUGUUCCCCAAGUUUU